rnacentral:rRNA from 1 species
AACGAACGCUGGCGGCAGGCUUAACACAUGCAAGUCGAACGCCCCGCAAGGGGAGUGGCAGACGGGUGAGUAACGCGUGGGAAUCUACCGUGCCCUGCGGAAUAGCUCCGGGAAACUGGAAUUAAUACCGCAUACGCCCUACGGGGGAAAGAUUUAUCGGGGUAUGAUGAGCCCGCGUUGGAUUAGCUAGUUGGUGGGGUAAAGGCCUACCAAGGCGACGAUCCAUAGCUGGUCUGAGAGGAUGAUCAGCCACAUUGGGACUGAGACACGGCGCAAACUCCGACGGGAGGCAGCAGUGGGGAAUAUUGGACAAUGGGCGCAAGCCUGAUCCAGCCAUGCCGCGUGAGUGAUGAAGGCCUUAGGGUUGUAAAGCUCUUUUACCGAUGAAGAUAAUGACGGUAGUCGGAGAAGAAGCCCCGGCUAACUUCGUGCCAGCAGCCGCCGUAA